UACAACUUAGCUCCCUGUAAAGCAAAAAGCAAGAAGAUACCAGGGUGCUUUGGAAAUGGAGAACUUUAAGAGGAAUCACUGCUAGACGGUCUCACUCUCGCCAGCCUCCCUCUCUCCCAGCAGUCUUGCCCCCACCUCUUUGAGAUCCUCUGGCUCUGCGCAGGAUAAAUAGCGACUGUGAAAUCCUUACAAAGGAAGGAGAACUAAUGGGAUAUUGCUAUUUCUGGAGCUGCCCAUUAGAGAAGCUGUUCUGUGGUACGCAGUAUGCCAGUGCACUUCAAAAAAAUAAAUAGGAACAAGAAUUAUUAGCAGAGGAAGCAUAUGUGGCCCCAAGACCAUGACUCAUCGGGUUAAAUCGACCAGCUGAGCAGAGAAGCAGAGGUAAGGAGAAACCGAGUGACUCACCGACCAUCCCACAGGGAGCCUGCAGCGUAACACGGUGCCAAGCCCAGUUCCCAUCCCACCCCGGCCGUCCCUCGUCCCGCCGCCGCGCAGGGAUGUCUUACUGGAAAAACUUGAUUUAGCCAAAACCUGGGACGCACACAGUGGGAAACAGAUAUAGCCUUCGGUCAGGAGACUGGACGGGAUUUACUAGCAGCCUCUCUUCAUCUUCAAAGUCACCUUCGUUAACAGCCACUUUACAAGCUUUUACAGCUUUAAGGAGAAACUCAGUUAUCUCAGU